UACGUAGGGGGCAAGCGUUGUCCGGAUUUAUUGGGCGUAAAGAGCGUGUAGGCGGCUUUGCAAGUCCGUUGUGAAAACUCGAGGCUCAACCUCGAGACGCCGGUGGAAACUGCAAAGCUAGAGUCCGGAAGAGGAGAGUGGAAUUCCUGGUGUAGCGGUGAAAUGCGCAGAUAUCAGGAGGAACACCAGUGGCGAAGGCGGCUCACUGGCCCGGUACUGACGCUGAGGCGCGAAAGCUAGGGGAGCAAACGGG
rnacentral:rRNA from 1 species